GCCACUAUAAAAUAAGGUGGUGAGAGAGUUAGAUAGAUGGUGGCUAUCUUAGUAUAAAGUGAGGUGAUGCCUAUGAGUGCAUCAACAAAAUCUUUAGAAAGGAGAGGCCUUAAUGAUUAGCAUUGCAGAUGCACUAAUGAUUAUGAUAGGGUUCAGUUCAUUGACUGUAUCUAUCAUACAUUUAGUUGUCU
rfam:Staphylococcus pseudintermedius strain 063228, complete genome.